GGUCGGUUAGCUCAGUUGGUUAGAGCGUGGUGCUAAUACGGCUUGUCUGUAACGCCAAGGUCGCGGGUUCGACCCCCGUACUGACCA
rnacentral:tRNA from 1 species